UAAUAUUCCCGUACUUCUUACAAUUGCGAUGGGGGGACGGAGAAGGCUAGGUGGGCCUGGCGACGGUUGUCCAGGUUCAAGUGCGUAGGCUGAAGAGUUAGGUAAAUCCGGCUCUUUUUAAGGCUGAGACACGACGUCGAGCACCUACGGGUGUGAAGUCAUUGAUGCCAUGCUUCCAGGAAAAGCCUCUAAGCUUCAGAUUGUAAGGAAUCGUACCCCAAACCGACACAGGUGGUCGGGUAGAGAAUACCAAGGCGCUUGAGAGAACUCGGGUGAAGGAACUAGGCAAAAUGGUACCGUAACUUCGGGAGAAGGUACGCUCUUGAUGGUGAAGUCCCUUGCGGAUGGAGCUGACGAGAGUCGCAGAUACCAGGUGGCUGCAACUGUUUAUUAAAAACACAGCACUGUGCAAAAUCGUAAGAUGACGUAUACGGUGUGACGCCUGCCCGGUGCCGGAAGGUUAAUUGAUGGGGUUAGACUUCGGUCGAAGCUCUUGAUCGAAGCCCCGGUAAACGGCGGCCGUAACUAUAACGGUCCUAAGGUAGCGAAAUUCCUUGUCGGGUAAGUUCCGACCUGCACGAAUGGCGUAAUGAUGGCCACGCUGUCUCCACCCGAGACUCAGUGAAAUUGAAAUCGCUGUGAAGAUGCAGUGUACCCGCGGCUAGACGGAAAGACCCCGUGAACCUUUACUACAGCUUGGCACUGAA
rnacentral:rRNA from 1 species